UCACUGCAAGUUUGGUGCGGACACAAAAGAGCUGCUUCUCUCGCCCGCAGCCUCCCUGCACUGCCCUCCAGCAGCCCCCGGCCCUCCAGCCAACCGAACAAAAAGCCCAAGCCCAGCAAUGCGUGAAGGAGUGAAUGGCCAGUUCUGGAUUUGUGCCUGACUGCCACUUACUAGCAGUGUGCCCACAGCUUUGCAAAGAAGUGAAGAGAAAGCCACACAGCUCGGGCUUGUCCUUCUCAGCGUCCCCAUUUAUUUCUCUUCUGGGAAGGGAAAACACGUGGGUGUGAGUCCACAAUGGUCAGAAAGGAGACUGCUAUAGGAGCAGAUGUCAGACCCGCAGAAGUGGGUUUCUUCCUCCUGGGGCUUGUUUGUGGCAGCAUCAAGGACUGCCCCACCCAGAAUCCUUAUCAGGAGCCAGGAUGGGCUCUUAAUCUGCAGCUCACAGGCCAUGGUCAACACACUCUGGGGAGGUAUGUUAUCAUCCCAAAACAGCUGACCAAGCACAGGUCUCCAGGCUGGCAGUGUUUACCAAGAGGGGGAGCUGGAAGCAGAACGGACCAACCAAUGCCUCGUCCCUGACCACGGGAAAGCCACCAACUGCUAGUCUUCAAGCAAUUCAAGGCCAGACCUCUUAUAUUCCCAGCUGGCCAAAGAGUGCCCUCCACUUCUACUGAAAUUGGUCAGAGCUAAAAUAAAUAACACAUU